GUGCAGCAGUCGCGAAAACUUCGCAAUACACGAAAGUGUGACGAGGCCAUCCCGAGUGCCAUCCGCUGAGGAUGGCUUUUCCCCAGUGUAGAUAGCUGGGGGAAUAAGGAGAGGGCAAGUCUGGUGUCAGCCGCCGCGGUAAUACCAGCUCUUCGAGUGGUGGGGACGCUUAUUGGGCCUAAAGCAUCCGUAGCUGGCCAAACAAGUCCCCUGUUAAAUCCAGCGAUUUAAUCGUUGGACUGCGGGGAAUACUGCUUGGCUAGGGGGCGAGAGAGGCCGACGGUAUUUUCGGGGUAGGGGUGAAAUCCUAUAAUCCCGGGAGGACCACCAGUGGCGAAGGCGGCCGACUAAAACGCGCCCGACGGUGAGGGACGAAAGCUGGGGGAGCGAACGGGAUUAGAUAUGAAGUUGAGUUUUUACCAGCUUCACUAGAAACCCCGGUAGUCC
rnacentral:rRNA from 1 species